CCCACGUAGUCCUCUAUUUCAUUUGAAGCAGUGCCUUGCGAUAUCCCGAAAAGAAAAAAAAUGCCACGCCUCGUGAACCCUAAUGGAGGAGACGAUGAUGGCUGAUGGCGUGGCGGCGGCGCCUUCCCCGACGACAACGGCGAGCCACCACGUUCUCGGCCAUCUGGAUAAGAUAUGGCGAACCAUCACGUUCCCGGCGAUCUGGAUGAGCACCAUGGUAGCGGCGCUUCCCCCUCCCCCGAUCUUGAACUCAAGCGGCAGAGUCCACCAUGACUUGCGGCGCUGCUGGUAGAACCGGGGUCCCCAGGCGAGGAAGAGGGCCGUCAUGCUUCCACCCUCCCUUCACUUCUGUUGUUUUGUCUGCAGGUAUCGUAUGAUUUCGUUGCCAUCCAUCGCACUCAGAUGCUCUCAGAUCCGUUAAUCUCUUCUGGGGAAAAGAGAAGAAAGCGUGAAGGUUGAUCUCUAAUAUUUGAACAUAUGGCUUUUGGUCAAAUGAUCUUCUGUAUGUCUUUCACGCCAGAAAAGCGAAGGCCGACCACUCUUCACUUCAACUGCAGCAUCCAUGGAUCCUAGAUAGAUUAGCAUGUCUCCUGGUGAUUCCUUUUGCUCCUUCCUUUCACGUGGAUCAAGUACAUCUUAGGCUCUUCUCCCCAUAUUUUGUUAUUUCUGACCAGUAUAUUAGGCAAAUAUGCAAAAGCCCUUCGGAUGAAACAAAUCGUGCACUGGAAAGUGAUUGCCCACGUGCCACCACAAACCUAAUUAUGGACAACAUCAUAGAGACAGAUGACGCAAAGUACAUGAUUACAGGCUUGCUACAACUUCACAAACAGCUUCCUUGAAAGAUUCCUAAGAAAUAUCGUUAUGUUAGGUGAAGCAAAUGAACCACAUUAAUUGUCAGUUUCCUACAAAUCAAAAUAUCAGAAUCAGCUGUUUCAGUGGAGUAAUCAAAAAUCGUUUUAGUCCAGUACACCGAGCCUAUAUUCCAGCAACAAAACAAGUAAAAAUACUUGCAGGGCUACAAAGCUUGCACACGCAGUUUUGUUGGAUUCCACUGUUGGCAUUUUUACAAUGGAUUCAGGGCAUUUGAGUGCAUAUGGAAUAUAAAAUUUGGUACUAUAUAAUGUGUGCGUUCAAAUUAUAUAUCUCCUUUCAAUGUGCUAACAAUCUGCUUCAUGAUAAUUUUCCAAGAGAUGAACUCAAAUGCGCAUUAUCUGCUGACAUAAGGUGACACCUCUUGGUAGGGGGUUACUUGUCACCGUCAGCUUUCUUCGUAGUACAGUUUGGGUAUAUGGUAAUAAUAACUUGCCAUGUGCUAUUACGCUAAUAAAUAAUUUCUCAUUUUGCAUUGGUUAUGCUUUCUUGGUCGCCACCUCAAUUUGAGAGAUGCAUCGUCACAAAUUGGCAUUAAUAUUUUCUCGUACAAAUUUGCACUCCUCCAGCUCCACAUUUAUUGUCACUUUUGUCGGUUUUGCAGUCCAUUUACUUCUAAACACGGUAAUCUCUCAAGACGGAACGAAUGCGAGUAUGGCAGGUUGUGUCCGAACUUUGUACGACAGAGGAUUGAAUGGUAUUGUCCAGUUCUGCUCUACGCACAGACGGCUUAAUGUGAUGUGUUGUACACUUGACUAAUGAAUUUGCCAUGUGUAUAACAUUAUUCCUCUCAAAAUUCAUGUCUUUGGUUUAUACCGUAAUAUGACAGCUGCCUCAAAGAAACCAUGCAAGAGUUUGUGAGUUUAUACUAUUUGGCUACAAAUAUUACAUGAAUGCCAGCUAUGUCAACAUCAAGAUUGUCUAUUGCAGAAUAUGUGGUCAAAUCGUCAUCCCCACUCUAUUCAGAAGUUUGCAGUCAUCGAGUUCGUUGAUGCUUAGUCAACAAUAUGUCAGAAGUAGCACUUAGAUGGUGUAGCAAUACUUGCUCAAAGAGCCAUAUUUUCAAGUGACAAGCACACAUAUGGAAGGAAGUCAAGCACAAAUAAGGAAGGAACAAAAGAUCCACAUACUCUGUAGACAUGUUUUGAAGGUACAAUCACAGGUCACGGAAGUAGUGCUAUUGGUGGUUGCAAAAUCCAUGUGAUGUUGAUCAAAGCUUUUCAAUCUUCUUGCUCUAUAUGUCUAAUCAUACGCUGGCAAACUGAUAGAUGUUUGCUAGAUUAACAUUUUUUUAUUUGUGCCUGCCUAUGUAUGUGCAAAAAUGAUGAUAGUGUGGAAAUGUGAGAACAAGAGCUUGAUAUGAGAUAAUCCUCACUCAUACUAUAGUUCAUUUAUGAGAACGUAAAUUCAGCUUUUUUACUUUGUUCCUGUCGACA